GAUGAACGCUAGCGGCAGGCCUAAUACAUGCAAGUCGAACGGGAUUAAGGAGCUUGCUUCUUAUGAGAGUGGCGCACGGGUGCGUAACACGUAUGCAACCUACCUUUAACUGGGGGAUAGCCUUCCGAAAGGAAGAUUAAUACCGCAUAACAUAAUGGAGUGGCAUCACUUUAUUAUCAAACUAUUUGGGUUAAAGAUGGGCAUGCGUCCGAUUAGCUAGUUGGUACGGUAACGGCGUACCAAGGCGACGAUCGGUAGGGGAUCUGAGAGGAUGGCCCCCCACACUGGGACUGGGACACGGACCAGACUCCUACGGGAGGCAGCAGUAAGGAAUAUUGGUCAAUGGACGGAAGUCUGAACCAGCCAUGCCGCGUGCAGGAAGACGGUCCUCUGGAUUGUAAACUGCUUUUGUUAGGGAAGAAACUUCCGUACGUGUACGGGACUGACGGUACCUAAAGAAUAAGGAUCGGCUAACUCCGUGCCAGCCGCCGCGGUAAAAC
rnacentral:rRNA from 1 species